rnacentral:ncRNA from 1 species
AUGAUUUAAGACUAAGAGGGAAGUUGGUGUAAAUCCAACACGGUCCCGCCACUGUAAGCGAGUAGGAAGGUUACGCAAUAUCCACUGUGUUUUAUAACAUGGGAAGGAGUAACCGACUGUUGAUUCGUAAGUCAGGAGACCUGCCUAUUAUGUA